rnacentral:rRNA from 1 species
UACGUAGGGGCAAGCGUUGUCCGGAAUCAUUGGGCGUAAAGAGCGUGUAGGCGGCUCGGUAAGUCCGCUGUGAAAGUCCAGGGCUCAACCCUGGAAUGCCGGUGGAAACUGUCGAGCUAGAGUCCGGAAGAGGCGAGUGGAAUUCCUGGUGUAGCGGUGAAAUGCGCAGAUAUCAGGAGGAACACCAAUGGCGAAGGCAGCUCGCUGGGACGGUACUGACGCCUGAGACGCGAAAGCGUGGGGAGCAAACAGG